UGAUAACUUGCCGAAGCCAGUCAAACUCCACGUAGGGGUCAGGGAAUCCGGUGAGAAUCCGGAACUGACGCGCAGCGGUGAGGGGGACGGGCGGGGCCACGGCCACUGGGACCACCCGCGGGUGUCCUGGGAAGGCGUCCCGUCCGUAGGAGCCCGAGUCCGAAGACCUGCUGGCACCUGUGACCCGGU
rnacentral:ncRNA from 2 species